AAAUAAAAAAAAAACAUAUAUAUACUUUCAAGUAGAAUUUGCAUUCAGUCUAACAAAACAUGAACAAAGCUUUGAAGGAAUUUUUUUUUUUUUUGGAGUUGCAUUUGGUUGAAAGAUUAGAUGGGAGAAGACUGACAUGUUGACGGUGCAGAGCCUUCCUGCCCGAGAACCAGUGCAUCUGCUUCCGUUAUUCGUUUGAACUGUUUUAUGUCCACCCGUCAUUUCCUGUAAUAUUCUUCAUAUGGGCAUUACACGCCUAGAAAAGAGUAAUGUCAUCAAGAGCCUUAAAACUGUUUUCUUAGUAAUUCCACCUCUAGUGGCCUAAACAACGUGAACACGAGUUUGUGCGUAAAAGAUUUCAGCUACAACGUUGAACCUGGAACGGUCCAAACGUUAGAAACACUUAAAAUGAACAGUUACAGGGGGUUGGGGGGUGGGGGCAAGAGGGUGGUGGAUAAAUAACUUCCGAGACAGCCACAAGCUGAACUAUUAGGCAGCCCUUAAAAAGAUACUCCUGGAAAUCAGCUCAGCUUGAACGCCGCGUGGAAAAUCGCGAGUGAACGUGUUGCACGGACAGUUUUAUCUUUUUUUUUUUUUUUUUUUUCCUUUUUUUGGCAGGCAUAGCUCUGUACGCCUGGUAGAGAGCGCAGAGGAUGAGCCCGGAAAGAUGCAGCUCAGAGGAUGAGCCCGGAAAGAUGCGCUUCGAUUAACAGAAACACCAACCCUGAGGAAGAGGACAGUCAAUGUACUAGGAUCCUAGUGGGUCAUGAGGACACCAGGGAAAUCCGGACUUUGACAUUCAAAAUGUAUCUCCAGGGCCGCCUGGGGGGCUCAGUGGUUGAGCACCUGCCUUCAGCCCAGGGCGUGACCCCGGGGUCCCAGGAUCGAGUCCUGCAUUGGGCUCCCCGCAUGGAGCCUGCUUCUCCUCCCUCUGCCUCUGUCUCUGCCUCUCUCUGUGCAUCUUUCAUGAAUAAAUAAAUAAAAUCUUAAAAAAAAAAAACCCUGUAUCUCCAAACCAUUAUCCACUCCAGGACGAGGCAGAGGAAAACAAUCAGGGCAUAACAACCAAACCAUGAUGAUAAACGCACACGGUGAACCCCGGUCCUCUUGGCCGGGAUCUGGACUCGUUCCAUUUGGGUCGGAGGGAGUAAGUCCCAGGGUAGGUGCAUCUUACCUGGAAUGCCCCGAGCGGCCACAGGGCAGCCUGCCUCCUCCUGUGUGUUUUAUCCCCUCGGGGAUGCUUGCUU
rnacentral:lncRNA from 1 species